rnacentral:tRNA from 3 species
CCGUCACUAGCUCAUCAGGAAAGAGCAUCAACCUUUUAUGUUGAGAGUGCGGGGUUCGAGUCCCCGGUGACGGUCCA